UAAUUAUGCCCAAAAAAACGAAUUGACAACUUUGGUAUUGUUUGGUAUGAACAGCUUAAUUCCUUUAUGUAAAGCCAACUUAACAUGUUGUUGCAUAAUUCUGACUCACGUUGGUUGCUAUCGGGCUUAAGCCAUAAAAAUCGAAGAAAAAAAGAAGAAGACGCCCACUUUCAGUUGUCAUUUCAAUGUCACUUUCCGGCCCACAAGCAUAAACGCCACCGGCAACGGCAGUUCCCAAAAUCCAAACAAAUGUUGGAAGAUAUUUUUAAGUCUCCGCAUCUUUCUUACUUUCCUAUAUGAAAAUAAAAUUGGAGUACACCAACAAAGGUUAUGUGUUUUGCACCAGAUUGAAAGCAUCAUAGCGAAAAACGGACCUGUCAUAUCUUUACAUUUCCAAAAGAGCCCCUGGAAAAAGAAAAAUUAAUAUCUCUGCUAAGGAAUACUAAGGCAAAUGGAUAAAAAACCUUGAGUCCAUGCAUUGGAAUGUAAUUGUUGACAGAAAUACAAUGAAUGGCCUCACUACUUUUCCACAUGCAAAGAGGUUAACCAAGGAGAAAUUAAAGAAAUUGUCAGAAACCUAGGUAAAUACAGAAUUGCUUAGUACAAACUUAUCUAUACCCAGUACAAGUUUGUCCGGUAAUUCUGCAGUUUAGCGGCUU